GGCGAUGUAGCUCAGUUGGUUAGAGCGGCGGAAUCAUAAUCCGUAGGUCGUGGGUUCGAGUCCCACUUUCGCUA
rnacentral:tRNA from 1 species